AGCACAUUGCUGAGUUACUGCAGGGUAACUUUGCGAGUAGUUAGCAGCUCCCAGCUGCUCUGACCUCUGCAUAAACUGCACUUGAUUUUGCCCACCUGUAUUUGCAGGGUCAUCACAGAGCAUCUCCAGGAUGAGCAGUCUCAUCAGAAAUCAGCCUAGUGGACCUGGAAGAAGGCCAGUGUAGGACAUCAUGGUCCUGCUAAUGAUAAUGUUAUCUCUGGAAACUUUCUGCAUUACUCAGCAUUAUGCUAUCCAGCUGCCAAAUAGUGAUGUUCUUCAUUACCAAGGCAACUCUCUGGACAGCUGCAACAAUGCUGGGAAAUGCCACCUGAAAUUGGAAGACAAUAUCAAGUUUUCAGAAGAGAUAAUAUUUUGUUUUAUUAGUUUACAAUAAACUGUACCAUCUUCAGCAACAAAUAAAUGAACUUUUAUUAGAGACUUUUAUUACAGAGACUUUUAUUAGCUGUGUGGCUGGCAUGUGUUUGCAUGCCUAGUUUUGCAA